UACGUGGGGGGCAAGCGUUGUUCGGAAUUAUUGGGCGUAAAGGGUGCGUAGGCGGUCUGACAAGUCUGAUGUGAAAUCUCUGGGCUCAACCCAUAGUCUGCAUCGGAAACUGUCGGGCUUGAGUAUGGGAGAGGUGAGUGGAAUUUCCGGUGUAGCGGUGAAAUGCGUAGAUAUCGGAAGGAACACCUGUGGCGAAAGCGGCUCACUGGACCACAACUGACGCUGAUGCACGAAAGCGAGGGGAGCAAACAGG
rnacentral:rRNA from 1 species